CGCAAUCGCUUACCCCUAAAAUCCAAACCCUAAUUCGAAUUUCGAUCCGAAUUCGAUUUUUCUACUGCAAACAUUAAUCUUCAUCCAAUCUUGUUAUGUAUGUCAAUAAAAUCUCCCACUUCCUUCUUCCAUUCUGCAAAAAGGAAAAAAAAUAAGAAGAAAAAUCAUUCUUGCAAAUUGGGUUCAAUUUUUUGAAAGAAAAAACAUUUAAUGUUAACGAAAUUCUGCUAAGAAACAAAUUAUGCUCAAUCUUUUUCAGGUCGCGAGAGGUUUUAGCGAGGGAAGCUAUAAACCACGCGUUGAAGGCGCUAAAUAAACGGCAUUUAAUUGAAGAAGGAGCUCAUGCUCCUGCUUAUAUUGCUCUUUCCAGGCCUAUCAUCUCCCAGGUAUGUUUCUUUUUUGGGUUUUUAAUGAUUACAAUGUAUUGAAAAUUGCUACUUUUUCAAAAGAAAAAAUGUCAAUGUUGAUAUUGGAGUUUAUGAUUAUGUUGCAAGAUUAUGAAAGCAAAUGGGUCUGGAUUAAGGAAUUAGUUAAAUCUUUAGGUUUCCAUUAGAAUAGAAAGGCACUAUGCAAUAUUGGGAUAUGCUAUUUAGACUCGGGUGUGAAUUUUGGAUCCGAAUUAGUGCAUGCUCGGUCUUUUAGAAGGUUCUGCAGCUAUGUUCGAUAUAUAUCGGACACUGAUACUUCUAGUAAUAUGAAGAGUUGGAACAAAAUAGAUAUUUGGUAAUUGGAUAUGAUAUUUGUAUUUGGGUGUGAGUGUCGAAUAUGGAUAUAUUCAAUUUUGUCGAAGAUUUUCUUGGAUUUUUGGAUAUGUUAUUUAGACUUGGGUGCAAAUUUCGGAUUUGAAUUAGUGUAUGUUUGUUUUUUAGAAAGUCCCGCAGCUAUGUUCCAUAUAUAUUGGGCACAGAUACUUCAAGUAAAAUGAAGCGUCAGAACAAAAUAAAUGUUUGGUAAUUGGAUAUGUUAUUUGGAGUGGGGUGAGUUUCGGGUAUAGGUAUGUUCAAUUUUUUGUAUUUUUUCCAUGGAUAUGUGGAUCAUAUCUCUGUACCUAUGUUUGAAUAGGCGUUGAACAUGAGUGUUAAACAUGGAUACUUCAUGAAAAUUGAAGAGUUUGAGUAACAUAGGCACUUUGUGAAUUUCUUUGUAGGGUUCAGAAUGGAAAGAGAAAGCAGAAAACUUGGAAAUGGAACUUCAACAAUGUUACAAAGCGCAGUCUAGAUUGUCCGAGCAACUAGUGGUUGAAGUAGCUGAAUCUCGAGCUUUAAAAGCUUCUCUACAAGAGAAAGAAACGGCUAUUGCCGAAUUGGAGAAGGAAUUGAACCAAACCAGGUUCGGUUUGUGUUCCUUUUCAUAGUGUGUGCUAGAUUUCUAGAUUUGAAGUAGCUGUGAACGGAAUAAUUGACAGACUGUUUAUUUUUGCAGGGAUGAGUGCUCUCAGCUAAAGACAGAUUUAGAAGAAAAAAUUCGAGCUUUGGAAUUGUUGAUGAUCGAGCAUCAACAACUGAAAGCUCAAUUAGAACAAAUGGCUAUUAAAGCUAAAAACGCGGAGGCUGAAAAUAAGAUGUUAGUUGAUCGUUGGAUGCUUCAAAAAAUGCAGGAUGCUGAACGGCUUAACGAGGUAUGGUAUAUCGUUGUCACGCUCGGUUCUGACAGAGCAUAAUUUAUUUUUCGGUGAAUGUACCUCAGAGGUCCCUCUAUUAUAGGGGCUUGAUCAAAUUAGUCUCUCUAUUAUUAAAUGGGUAAAAUUUAGUCUGUGUACUAUUAAAAAGAAUCAAAUAAUUCCAAAUUGGAAUAGAGUUGACAUUUGCUAUUUAAAAACUAUCAUUUAUUGUUUAACUGAGUUAAUAUUUUUAAAGUUUUUAUAGUUCUGUAAAUGAAAUCUUUUGUUAGUUUUUAAGACAUUUUUUAUGCAAUAAAUAUUAACUUUGUUACGAUUGGACUUCCUUGAUUCUUUUUAAUAGUAUAAGGACUAAAUUGAUUCAUUUAAUAAUAGAGGGACUAAUUUGAUCUAGUCUAUAAUACAGGGACCUCUCAAGUGCUUUAACCUUUAUUUUUCAGUAUGUGUGUUUUAGAUUACAAUAUUAGUGGUAACUUUAGUUUUUCUAUAAUUAAUUUAGGCAAAUGCGCUUUACGAAGAUAUGAUUGAGCGGCUAAAGGCCAGUGGUUUAGAAAAACUUGCCCGAGAACAAGUGGAUGGUAUUGUCCGUAGAAGCGAAGAAGGUGCUGAGUUCUUUGCGGAAUCAACCGUUCCUUCUGUUUGCUCACACAGGAUCAAUGCACAUGAAGGUGGUUGUGCUUCCAUACUGUUCGAGUACAAUUCCAGCAAAU
rnacentral:lncRNA from 1 species